rnacentral:rRNA from 1 species
GACGAACGCUGGCGGCGUGCUUAACACAUGCAAGUCGAGCGGUAAGGCCCUUUCGGGGGUACACGAGCGGCGAACGGGUGAGUAACACGUGGGUGACCUGCCUUUAGCUCUGGGAUAAGCCUGGGAAACUGGGUCUAAUACCGGAUACGACUCCGCGGUGCAUGCUGUGGGGUGGAAAGCCUUGUGCGGCUGGAGAUGGGCCCGCGGCCUAUCAGCUUGUUGGUGGGGUGAUGGCCUACCAAGGCGACGACGGGUAGCCGGCCUGAGAGGGCGACCGGCCACACUGGGACUGAGACACGGCCCAGACUCCUACGGGAGGCAGCAGUGGGGAAUAUUGCACAAUGGGCGAAAGCCUGAUGCAGCGACGCCGCGUGAGGGAUGACUG